rnacentral:rRNA from 1 species
GGGACAACCCGCCGAAAGGCGGGCUAAACCCGCGUACAUGCCACCGGGGCAUCCCGGAGGCAGGAAAGGCUUCGGCCGGACAGGGAUGGGCAUGCGGCGCAUUAGGCAGUAGGCGGGGUAACGGCCCACCUAACCGACGAUGCGUAGGGGUUCUGAGAGGAAGGUCCCCCACACUGGUACUGAGACACGGACCAGACUCCUACGGGAGGCAGCAGUGAGGAAUAUUGGUCAAUGGUCGGGAGACUGAACCAGCCAAGCCGCGUGAGGGAUGAAGGUACAGAGUAUCGUAAACCUCUUUUGUCAGGGAACAAAGGCGGGGACGUGUCCCCGGAUGAGUGUACCUGAAGAAAAAGCAUCGGCUAACUCCGUGCCAGCAGCCGCGGUAAUACGGAGGAUGCGAGCGUUAUCCGGAUUUAUUGGGUUUAAAGGGUGCGCAGGCGGUCUGUUAAGUCAGCGGUCAAAGCCCGGGGCUCAACCCCGGCCCGCCGUUGAAACUGGCAGUCUCGAGUUGGAGAGAAGUAUGCGGAAUGCGCGGUGUAGCGGUGAAAUGCAUAGAUAUCGCGCAGAACUCCGAUUGCGAAGGCAGCAUGCCGGCUCCACGCUGACGCUGAGGCACGAAAGCGUGGGUAUCGAACAGGAUUAGAUACCCUGGUAGUCCACGCAGUAAAC